rnacentral:lncRNA from 1 species
UCCUUGGGUGACGCCCGCGAAGAUCCAACUACGAUUUUUCGGUGGACAGGCGCGCCAAUAGAAAGAAAAUCGAUGAUUGUCGAUUUCUAGUUUAGUUGGUCACGAACUCACAAAGAGGCAACACAUCGUCAUUACUUAGGUGACGGAGUUUGGGCAAAAUUGGGAAAAUAUAUAACUAAAAGACCUCGAACAUCAGCCAAUAACCCAUACUAAUAAUAAUCAAGCAGUAGUUAUAUCUGGAGACUUAUUUACAAGAAAGGAAAAAGGUUAUAAUACCGCCGAUGUGUUGCUUUGCUCAAAUUCCGUCCCGUAGCUACUUGUCACAUAGACACUUAGCCUAGUCAAUUUAGAUAGAUUGUAUCAUCAUUUAAUGUGCCAUCAUAUAAAUAUGUGCCAGUUACUGUAAGCAGCUAGGGUAUGGGUUACCCCUAGAGUUACUUUUGAUUGGAUUGGAUAGUACCUAUUUCACAACAUCCAGGAUUGGAUUUAUCACCACAGCAGCCCACUAGUUUUUGCCGUGCCAAGAGGAAAUUCAUUCCUAUCUGGACCUUUUUAAAUAGGAACUGUGGUUAAGAUAAGUUGUUUAAUCUUAUUAUUUACAUAUUUUGGGUACUCUAUAGUUGCUUGCACUGUAAACUUCUUGUAUGCAUACAAUUGAGGUAAACUAGGUACAUAUUUCUUGAUAGAUAGGGUUUUAGGUCGUUGGUUUUUUUUUGAUUUAAUAUAAGUAGUAGUUU